CUCGGUGCUCAUCAGGUAU
rnacentral:misc_RNA from 1 species